rnacentral:rRNA from 1 species
UACGAAUGGGGCAAGCGUUGUUCGGAAUAACUGGGCUUAAAGCGCACGUAGGCGGCUUUGUAAGUUAGAGGUGAAAGCCCGGAGCUCAACUCCGGAAUUGCCUUUAAGACUGCAUCGCUAGAAUUGUGGAGAGGUGAGUGGAAUUCCGAGUGUAGAGGUGAAAUUCGUAGAUAUUCGGAAGAACACCAGUGGCGAAGGCGACUCACUGGACACAUAUUGACGCUGAGGUGCGAAAGCGUGGGGAGCAAACAGG